rnacentral:rRNA from 1 species
UACGUAGGGGGCAAGCGUUGUCCGGAUUUAUUGGGCGUAAAGAGCGUGUAGGCGGCCAAGCAGGUCAGCUGUGAAAACUCGAGGCUCAACCUCGAGACGUCGGUUGAAACCGCUUGGCUAGAGUCCGGAAGAGGAGAGUGGAAUUCCCGGUGUAGCGGUGAAAUGCGCAGAGUAUCAGGAGGAACACCGGUGGCGAAGGCGGGUCUCUGGGCCUUACCCUGAC